CGCUAUCACUCCUACGGGGAGGCAGCAGUAGGAAUCUUCCACAACGGGCGCAAGCCUGAUGGAGCAACACCGCGUGAGUGAAGAAGGGUUUCGGCUCGUAAAGCUCUGUUGUUAAAGAAGAACACGUAUGAGAGUAACUGUUCAUACGUUGACGGUAUUUAACCAGAAAGUCACGGCUAACUACGUGCCAGCAGCCGCGGUAAUACGUAGGUGGCAAGCGUUAUCCGGAUUUAUUGGGCGUAAAGAGAGUGCAGGCGGUUUUCUAAGUCUGAUGUGAAAGCCUUCGGCUUAACCGGAGAAGUGCAUCGGAAACUGGAUAACUUGAGUGCAGAAGAGGGUAGUGGAACUCCAUGUGUAGCGGUGGAAUGCGUAGAUAUAUGGAAGAACACCAGUGGCGAAGGCGGCUACCUGGUCUGCAACUGACGCUGAGACUCGAAAGCAUGGGUAGCGAACAGGAUUAGAUACCCUGGUAG
rnacentral:rRNA from 1 species